ACUGUGCCAGUUACAUGUGUCAGCCAAUAGGCUGACACAUGUAACACUGAUCGCAGUGACAGGCUGUCACUGCGAUCAGAGCGCUGAUCAGUGACAGGCUGUCACUGCGAUCAGAGCGCUCUGAGAUUGCAGUGACAGCCUGUCACU